rnacentral:rRNA from 1 species
GACGAACGCUGGCGGCGUGCCUAAUACAUGCAAGUCGAACGAGAGCGACUGGUGCUUGCACUGGUCAAUCUAGUGGCGAACGGGUGAGUAACACGUGGGUAACCUGCCCAUCAGAGGGGGAUAACAUCCGGAAACGGAUGCUAAAACCGCAUAGGUCUUCGAGCCGCAUGGCUUGAAGAGGAAAAGAGUCGCAAGCUUCUGCUGAUGGAUGGACCCGCGGUGCAUUAGCUAGUUGGUGAGGUAACGGCUCACCAAGGCCGUGAUGCAUAGCCGACCUGAGAGGGUGAUCGGCCACAUUGGGACUGAGACACGGCCCAAACUCCUACGGGAGGCAGCAGUAGGGAAUCUUCCGCAAUGGACGCAAGUCUGACGGAGCAACGCCCUCGUGAGUGAAGAAGGUUUUCGGAUCGUAAAACUCUGUUGUUAGAGAAGAACAAGUGCUAGAGUAACUGUUAGCGCCUUGACGGUA